rnacentral:rRNA from 1 species
UACGUAGGGUGCGAGCGUUGCCCGGAUUUAUUGGGCGUAAAGGGCGCGUAGGCGGCCACGCACGUCCGUUGUGAAAUCGCCCGGCUCAACUGGGCGGGGUCAGCGGAUACGGUGUAGCUAGAGCAAGCUAGGGGGCAAUGGAAUUCCCGGUGUAGUGGUGGAAUGCGUAGAUAUCGGGAGGAACACCAGUGGCGAAGGCGGUUGCCUGGAGCUUUGCUGACGCUGAUGCGCGAAAGCGUGGGGAGCGAUCCGG